GGGUUGUGAGGUUAAGCGACUAAGCGUACACGGUGGAUGCCCUGGCAGUCAGAGGCGAUGAAGGACGUGCUAAUCUGCGAUAAGCGUCGGUGAGGUGAUAUGAACCGUUAUAACCGGCGAUUUCCGAAUGGGGAAACCCAGUGUGUUUCGACACACUAUCAUUAACUGAAUCCAUAGGUUAAUGAGGCGAACCGGGGGAACUGAAACAUCUAAGUACCCCGAGGAAAAGAAAUCAACCGAGAUUCCCCAGUAGCGGCGAGCGAACGGGAGGAGCCCAGAGCCUGAAUCAGUGUGUGUGUUAGUGGAAGCGUCUGGAAAGGCGUGCGAUACAGGGUGACAGCCCCGUACACAAAAAUGCACAUAUUGUGAGCUCGAUGAGUAGGGCGGGACACGUGGUAUCCUGUCUGAAUAUGGGGGACCAUCCUCCAAGGCUAAAUACUCCUGACUGACCGAUAGUGAACCAGUACCGUGAGGGAAAGGCGAAAAGAACCCCGGCGAGGGAGUGAAAAAGAACCUGAAACCGUGUACGUACAAGCAGUGGGAGCCUCUUAAUGGGGUGACUGCGUACCUUUUGUAUAAUGGGUCAGCGACUUAUAUUCUGUAGCAAGGUUAACCGAAUAGGGGAGCCGAAGGGAAACCGAGUCUUAACUGGGCGUUAAGUUGCAGGGUAUAGACCCGAAACCCGGUGAUCUAGCCAUGGGCAGGUUGAAGGUUGGGUAACACUAACUGGAGGACCGAACCGACUAAUGUUGAAAAAUUAGCGGAUGACUUGUGGCUGGGGGUGAAAGGCCAAUCAAACCGGGAGAUAGCUGGUUCUCCCCGAAAGCUAUUUAGGUAGCGCCUCGUGAAUUCAUCUCCGGGGUAGAGCACUGUUUCGGCAAGGGGGUCAUCCCGACUUACCAACCCGAUGCAAACUGCGAAUACCGGAGAAUGUUAUCACGGGAGACACACGGCGGGUGCUAACGUCCGUCGUGAAGAGGGAAACAACCCAGACCGCCAGCUAAGGUCCCAAAGUCAUGGUUAAGUGGGAAACGAUGUGGGAAGGCCCAGACAGCCAGGAUGUUGGCUUAGAAGCAGCCAUCAUUUAAAGAAAGCGUAAUAGCUCACUGGUCGAGUCGGCCUGCGCGGAAGAUGUAACGGGGCUAAACCAUGCACCGAAGCUGCGGCAGCGACACUAUGUGUUGUUGGGUAGGGGAGCGUUCUGUAAGCCUGUGAAGGUGGCCUGUGAGGGUUGCUGGAGGUAUCAGAAGUGCGAAUGCUGACAUAAGUAACGAUAAAGCGGGUGAAAAGCCCGCUCGCCGGAAGACCAAGGGUUCCUGUCCAACGUUAAUCGGGGCAGGGUGAGUCGACCCCUAAGGCGAGGCCGAAAGGCGUAGUCGAUGGGAAACAGGUUAAUAUUCCUGUACUUGGUGUUACUGCGAAGGGGGACGGAGAAGGCUAUGUUGGCCGGGCGACGGUUGUCCCGGUUUAAGCGUGUAGGCUGGUUUUCCAGGCAAAUCCGGAAAACCAAGGCUGAGGCGUGAUGACGAGGCACUACGGUGCUGAAGCGACAAAUGCCCUGCUUCCAGGAAAAGCCUCUAAGCAUCAGGUAACAUCAAAUCGUACCCCAAACCGACACAGGUGGUCAGGUAGAGAAUACCAAGGCGCUUGAGAGAACUCGGGUGAAGGAACUAGGCAAAAUGGUGCCGUAACUUCGGGAGAAGGCACGCUGAUAUGUAGGUGAAGCGACUUGCUCGUGGAGCUGAAAUCAGUCGAAGAUACCAGCUGGCUGCAACUGUUUAUUAAAAACACAGCACUGUGCAAACACGAAAGUGGACGUAUACGGUGUGACGCCUGCCCGGUGCCGGAAGGUUAAUUGAUGGGGUUAGCGGCAACGCGAAGCUCUUGAUCGAAGCCCCGGUAAACGGCGGCCGUAACUAUAACGGUCCUAAGGUAGCGAAAUUCCUUGUCGGGUAAGUUCCGACCUGCACGAAUGGCGUAAUGAUGGCCAGGCUGUCUCCACCCGAGACUCAGUGAAAUUGAACUCGCUGUGAAGAUGCAGUGUACCCGCGGCAAGACGGAAAGACCCCGUGAACCUUUACUAUAGCUUGACACUGAACAUUGAGCCUUGAUGUGUAGGAUAGGUGGGAGGCUUUGAAGUGUGGACGCCAGUCUGCAUGGAGCCGACCUUGAAAUACCACCCUUUAAUGUUUGAUGUUCUAACGUUGGCCCGUAAUCCGGGUUGCGGACAGUGUCUGGUGGGUAGUUUGACUGGGGCGGUCUCCUCCUAAAGAGUAACGGAGGAGCACGAAGGUUGGCUAAUCCUGGUCGGACAUCAGGAGGUUAGUGCAAUGGCAUAAGCCAGCUUGACUGCGAGCGUGACGGCGCGAGCAGGUGCGAAAGCAGGUCAUAGUGAUCCGGUGGUUCUGAAUGGAAGGGCCAUCGCUCAACGGAUAAAAGGUACUCCGGGGAUAACAGGCUGAUACCGCCAAGAGUUCAUAUCGACGGCGGUGUUUGGCACCUCGAUGUCGGCUCAUCACAUCCUGGGGCUGAAGUAGGUCCCAAGGGUAUGGCUGUUCGCCAUUUAAAGUGGUACGCGAGCUGGGUUUAGAACGUCGUGAGACAGUUCGGUCCCUAUCUGCCGUGGGCGCUGGAGAACUGAGGGGGCUGCUCCUAGUACGAGAGGACCGGAGUGGACGCAUCACUGGUGUUCGGGUUGUCAUGCCAAUGGCACUGCCCGGUAGCUAAAUGCGGAAGAGAUAAGUGCUGAAAGCAUCUAAGCACGAAACUUGCCCCGAGAUGAGUUCUCCCUGACUCCUUGAGAGUCCUGAAGGAACGUUGAAGACGACGACGUUGAUAGGCCGGGUGUGUAAGCGCAGCGAUGCGUUGAGCUAACCGGUACUAAUGAACCGUGAGGCUUAACCUUACAACGCCGAAG
rnacentral:rRNA from 1 species